UUCAACUGGGCACCAGGUGAGCCAGAUAACAGUCCAGCUCUUUCAUCGAAACACCAAGACUGCUUGGCUAUCUUCGAAUCCACUGGUAUGUGGGACGACGGCUGGUGUGAAACAAAACACAAUUUCCUUUGCGAAAUAGAUCUCGAUGUAGAGCAAAUUGUUGGAUGACCAGACUUCAAGUUUAUACACUUCAUUUGUGUAUUAUAUGUAGUUGUAAAUACACAAAUAAAAUAAAACAGUU